rnacentral:rRNA from 1 species
CCCUUAGAUGUUCUGGGCCGCACGCGCGCUACACUGAUGCAUUCAACGAGUCUAAAACCUGCUCUGAUAGGGGUGGGUAAUCUUUUGAAUGUGCAUCGUGAUUGGGAUAGAUGAUUGAAAUUUUUCAUCUUCAACGAGGAAUGCCUAGUAAACGCAAGUCAUCAGCUUGCAUUGAUUACGUCCCUGCCCUUUGUACACACCGCCCGUCGCUCCUACCGAUUGGAUGGUCCGGUGAAGCCUCGGGAUUGUGGUUCUUGCCGCUUUAUUGUGGCGUGACCGCGAGAACUUGUCUAAACCUUAUCAUCUAGAGGAAGGUGAAGUCGUAACA